CUCACAUAUAAAUACCGUUCCCUUGCGCUUCUUAGUUACUUAGUUCCCUCCUCUUUCUUUCUUCACGCCAAAUAACGAAAAACCAAAAAGCCCAAAUAAAAUUUCCAUUGUUAGAUCGAAUACACAAACCCUACUUGUAAAUCUUUAAUUUUCUUAUUUUUUUCCUUAGUUUUUUUGCUUGAGAGAAUAGUAAUGGCGGUUCCUGCUACAGCCAACGCAACUUCAGUGCUUACUACGGCCGCUGCACCUGUUGCUUCUGUGACUGGUGCUGGGCCGUUUGUGAAUGCGUCUCUCUACGUGGGAGAUCUGGAGCAUAAUGUGAAUGAGGGCCAAUUGUAUGACCUGUUUAGCCAGAUUGCUCAGGUCGUGUCUGUUAGAGUUUGUAGGGAUCAGGCAAAGCGAUCCUCACUUGGUUAUGCUUAUGUCAAUUUCAGUAAUCCACAAGACGCUGCAAAUGCGAUGGAGGCUCUGAAUUCUACUCCUUUGAAUGGGAAACCUAUCAGGAUUAUGUUUUCUCAUCGAGAUCCUAGUAUUAGAAAAAGUGGAUAUGCCAAUGUUUUCAUAAAAAAUCUGGACACGUCACUUGAUAACAAGGCGUUGCAUGACAUUUUUGCUGCCUUUGGGACUGUCCUUUCUUGCAAGGUAGCUGUUGAUAAUAACGGUCAAUCAAAAGGAUAUGGUUUUGUACAGUUUGAAAAUGAGGAUGCUGCACAGAGUGCAAUCAAACGGUUGAAUGGUAUGUUGAUAAAUGAUAAACAAGUUUAUGUUGGACUUUUUGUUCGACAUCAAGAAAGGAUUCGGGCUAAUGGAUCACCAAAGUUUACUAAUGUUUAUGUUAAAAACUUGUCUGACACAACAACUGAUGAGGACCUUAAGAAAAUUUUUGGCGCUUAUGGUACCAUCACCAGUGCAGUUGUUAUGAAGGACCAAAAUGGGAAAUCCAGGUGUUUUGGUUUUGUGAACUUUCAGAACCCAGAUGCUGCUGCUGCAGCUGCUGAGAAGCUGAAUGGGGCUACCAUCAAUAAUGACAAAGCUUGGUAUGUUGGUAGGGCCCAAAGUAAAGCAGAAAGGGCAUCAGAGUUGAAAACCAAGUUUGAGCAGGAAAGAAUUAGUAGAUAUGAAAAACCAAGAGGUGCAAAUUUAUAUCUGAAAAAUCUUGAUGAGAACAUUAAAGAUGAAAAGCUGAAGGAAUUAUUUUCUGAGUUUGGGUCUAUAACAUCAUGCAAGGUCAUGCUUGAUCACCAAGGGCUGAGUAAGGGCUCUGGUUUUGUUGCCUUUUCUACACCUGAGGAAGCUUCAAGAGCUUUGAUUGAAAUGAAUGGAAAGAUGAUUGGAAGGAAACCCCUUUAUGUUGCUGUUGCCCAACGCAAAGAAGAAAGGCAGGCUCAACUACAGGCACAUUUUGCUCAAAUUCGAGCUACUGGAGGAAUGUCACCUUUGCCUUCUGGAAUUCCUGGAUACCAUCCAGGGGCACCACAGCAGCUUUACUUUGGUCAAGGGACUCCUGGUAUGAUACCUGCUCAGCAUGCAGGAUAUGGCUUCCAGCAACUCAUGCCUGGAGUGCGCCCUGGUUUUGCUUCAAACUUUAUCAUGCCAUAUCACCUUCAAAGACAGGGACAACCUGGGCCGCGGAUGGGAACACGUCGUGGUGGGAACCCCCACCAGAUGCGGCGGCAGCAGCUAUUGCACCGUAACAACAAUCCAGGCUACAUGGGAAACAAUCCAGGCUACAUGGGAAAUGCAAGAAAUGGCAUAGACUCAUUUUCUGUUCCACAAGGCCUAGUGGGUCCUAUGAUGCCAUUGCCCUUUGGGGUCUCCGGAAAUCCUAUUGAUAUUCAGCAACCGGUUAUCAUCUCAACUCUUGCAUCUGCUUUGGCUUCUGCUUCCCCAUGGACGCGUAAUGAGAUGCUUGGUGGCCAUCUUUAUCCGCUUGUGGAGCGUCUUCAGCCAGAUCAUGUGGCGAAGGUGACUGGGAUGUUAUUGGAGAUGGAUCAAACAGAGGUGCUACAUCUCAUCGAGUCCCCAGAUGCUCUGAAAAAGAAGGUGGCUGAAGCAAUGCAAGUUCUCCGAGAAGCUGCUGAAUGAAGUCCUCCGAGAAGCUGCUGAAUGAAGUCCUCCAUAGCCGCCUUAUUUAUGGUUAUUAGUAUUUAUUUUGUUGGUGUUUAUGAGCGCUCACAUUUUAGUAGGGCUUGAUGAGCAGUAAUUUAUUUUGGUGGUGUCAUCUUAAAUUAGUUUUCUAAGAUCAAUUUUGUUUAUUAAGAUUGAAAAUAUUUGUUUUUAGGCUUUUUG
rnacentral:misc_RNA from 1 species